UGUCAGUGAGGCAGAGGUGGAAAGUAAGCACAGCGGAUUUCUUGUGGUACCUUGGUCACCAUAAAAGGAAGUGUAUCGUGCCUGGCAUCCUCCAAUACAGAGACAGUUGUCUCUGCCAAGGCCAGAAACGCCUAGCAUGUGGGAUUGCCCCGUUCAGACUCCAACGAACUCACAGCCCCGGCUUGGCUAAGGCCCAUGGUCUCUCAGCUCCCCUUUGUCCAGAUGUCGCCGACCCAGAUAUCUCAGCUCCGCUUUGUCCAGAUGUCGCCGACCCAGAUACCUCAGCUCCACUUCGUCCAGAUGUCAUCGACCCAGAUACCUCAGCUCCACUUCGUCCAGAUGUCGCCAACCCAGAUACCUCAGCUCCACUUCGUCCAGAUGUCAUCGAGGCUCACCACACUGGACAGUGGUGCAUUGUGAACUAGGAUGAACAACCAUACCCUGGCGUUAUACUGGAGGUCAAAGAACAAAAGGUCAAAGUGCAUGCACAGGAAUGGAGUCAACAAGCCCAAGAGAUGAUAAACUGGUAUGGGGAUGUUCAGAUUGUGUGUCUGAUGCAAUACCUGCUGCCAGUGAACAAAAGGUCAUCUCAGAUUUACCACAGUAUCUGGAAGUAAUUGGAGGACCACCUGAAUGUGUGAAAGUGGCAGAUGUGAACUGGCCAGCAGAGAAGAAGCCGUCAGUGGCUAGAAAGCAAUGGAGACUGUCCCGGAAAUGAUAAGAUGGACUUGACACGAUAAUAUGGGAAAGACAAACUUUUGUAAAGACAAACAUAAAGACAAACAUCAAGUAAAAGUGAAGUUAGUAUGGGAAAUAAUUAGUAGGGGAAAAGUUAGUACAGAAAAUAGGCCAAUUCCAUGAACAUGUUUUACUGCAUACAAUAUGUUAAUAUCAGUGCUUUUGGAAAAACUGUCUUAGUUUACAUUCAAUGUUGUUUCUAUUGUUCUUGUUUCUAGUUCUAAUAGAGAUAUUAUGUUUCUAGUUCUAAUAGAGAUAUUAUGUUUCUAUAGUUCUAAUAGAGAUAUUAUGUUUCUAUAGUUCUAAUAGAGAUGUUGUUUCUAUAGUUCUAAUAGAGAUAUUAUGUUUCUAUAGCUCUAGAGAUAUUGUUUCUAUAGUUCGAAUAGAGAUAUUAUGUUUAUAUAGUUCUAAUAGAGAUGUUAUGUUUCUAUAGUUCUAAUAGAGAUGUUAUGUUUCUAUAGUUCUAAUAGAGAUGUUAUGUUUCUAUAGCUCUAAUAGAGAUGUUUCUAUAGCUCUAAUAGAGAUGUUUCUAUAGUUCUAAUAGAGUGUUAUGUUUCUAUAGUUCUAAUGAGGAUGUUAUGUUUCUAUAGUUCUAAUAGAGAUGUUAUGUUUCUAUAGUUCUAAUAGAGGUUGUGUUUCUAUAUUCUAAUAGAGAUAUGUUUCUUGCUCUAUAGAGAUAUGUUUCUA
rnacentral:lncRNA from 1 species